UCUAAGUUUGAUGGCGACCGGCGCACGGGUGAGUAACACGUAUCCAACCUGCCGAUGACUCGGGGAUAGCCUUUCGAAAGAAAGAUUAAUACCCGAUGGCAUAGUUCUUCCGCAUGGUGGAACUAUUAAAGAAUUUCGGUCAUCGAUGGGGAUGCGUUCCAUUAGGUUGUUGGCGGGGUAACGGCCCACCAAGCCUUCGAUGGAUAGGGGUUCUGAGAGGAAGGUCCCCCACAUUGGAACUGAGACACGGUCCAAACUCCUACGGGAGGCAGCAUG
rnacentral:rRNA from 1 species